rnacentral:rRNA from 1 species
CCCCGUGAACCUUCAGCCUGCUCUCGUAGCCCACGCGGCAACAGCAAUCCCGGUAAAUCAUUGACGACCAGUUUUGAUUCGGGACCUCUGUUACGAUGUGAGAAGUUACAGUUACGAUCGAGCGGUAGAGUCAGUGGCAUGGCGUCCCCAAGCAGAAUCCAGAGAAUGAAAGGAUCACUGGCUGCGCAUAACGCCUCACGGUUGCUAGAGGUCGAUCACCGACCGGCAGACAUGUCACAGGGUCCCCAUGCCCCUUACCUCACCCCAUUACUAAUGACUAGCUUAGCGGUAACGCGCUGAGUAAAAAAAAAACCGAACAACUGUUAACAAUGGAUAUCUUGGUUCUCGCAACGAUGAAGAACGCAGCGAAAUGCGAUACGUAAUGCGAAUUGCAGAAUUCAGUGAAUCAUCGAAUCUUUGAACGCAAAUUGCGCUCUCGGGUUACCCCCAAGAGCACACCUCUCUGAGUGUCGGUUUAACCAAAUGUCACCAAUUUAUUGGUGUACGACAGACUGAGGGUAAGGGGCUUCGGCUUCUUUCCCUUUAAAUCUCAGCCUCACGACUGUGUGUGUUCGUGGCAAGUUGCUUUCACUUAAUUGUGAAUCCAAUCCGCGAACCCUAUGUUGGGAAGCCAAAAGAAACAAAUAAACUANGGAGUGAGCUUGAGGCGCAAGUUUCGAGUGAGCGAUUUUGGGCAUCUAUGAAUUAGACCUCAGAUGAAGUGGGAAGACCCCCUGAAUUUAAAGGGAGGAAAAGAAACUAACAAAGGAUUCCCCUAGUAACGGCGAGUGAAGCGGGAAGAGCUCGAAUUUAAAAUCCGCUGGUCUAACAGCCGGUGGAGUUGUAAUCUAGAGAGGCUCUCUCAGUGCCAGCCUGGUUAUAAGUCCCUUGAAACGGGGCAUCAAAGAGGGUGAGAAUCCCGUACUUGAGCCGGAGCUAAGUACGUACGAGGAGCUUUCCAAGAGUCGCGUUGCUUGGGAGUGCAGCGCUAAAUGGGUGGUAAAGUUCAUCUAAAGCUAAAUACUGGCGAGAGACCGAUAGCGAACAAGUACCGUGAGGGAAAGAUGAAAAGAACUUUGAAAAGAGAGUUAAAAAGUACUUGAAAUUGUUAACAGGGAAGGGGAGUAAACCAGUCAUUUCUAAGCUUCAUUCGCUUUUCUUUCGGGAGGAGUUACUUGAGGCUGAGAAGAGUCAGCAUCACUUAGGGUCUUCGCAGAAAUUGUGUGAGUUGGUGCGUUUCUUCGGAUUCGUUUAAUUCAUGCAACCUACGUUGGCGCUGGGUGAGGAGUGAUAACCCCCCGCCUUCGGGUGUCGGUGCUCUGAGGUCUGUUUGCCCUAGCGCGUGAGAGAACAAAGUUCUGUCUGUGCGAAAGGUGAAUACUGCUUUGGAUGCGCUAGAUGGUG